rnacentral:lncRNA from 1 species
GAGGAUUCCCAAUUAGGUUCUUCCAUUUACUCCUUCUGAACUAUCGAUUUUUGCCACUAUGGAACAAGAUUACUUUUGAGGACCUCAUGGACUACUAGAAAUAUUGGCCGAUGUUUCUUUGGAUGCGGGAUGUAUGAGAUAAUUGCCAUUUUUCUCAUUUUCGAUUUUUUAUCUGAUUUUUGGCUUUAAUCUCCCACCCCAUAUUAUUUUUUCAGAUAAAUGGGGGC